GAUGAACGCUGGCGGCGUGCUUAACACAUGCAAGUCGAGCGAAGCAGUUAAGAAGAUUCUUCGGAUGAAACUUGAUUGACUGAGCGGCGGACGGGUGAGUAACGCGUGGGUGACCUGCCCCAUACCGGGGGAUAACAGCUGGAAACGGCUGCUAAUACCGCAUAAGCGCACAGAGCUGCAUGGCUCAGUGUGAAAAACUCCGGUGGUAUGGGAUGGGCCCGCGUCUGAUUAGGCAGUUGGCGGGGUAACGGCCCACCAAACCGACGAUCAGUAGCCGGCCUGAGAGGGCGACCGGCCACAUUGGGACUGAGACACGGCCCAAACUCCUACGGGAGGCAGCAGUGGGGAAUAUUGCACAAUGGGGGAAACCCUGAUGCAGCGACGCCGCGUGAGCGAAGAAGUAUUUCGGUAUGUAAAGCUCUAUCAGCAGGGAAGAUAAUGACGGUACCUGACUAAGA
rnacentral:rRNA from 1 species